GGGUAACGUCAAGUCUGGGGACUGAGCGGGCCUGUAAAGCCUGCGCCUUUGUGCCUGCCUGGUUCGAUUCCAGGGUUACCCACCA
rnacentral:tRNA from 2 species